AAAAGGCAGAGGGCCUCUGGCCAGGGAGCAGAGAGCAAGGGGCUGGGGGCCUAGUGCCCCUGCAGCAGUGAGAGGUUCCAGAGUCCCAGUGAAGUUAGUUGAGAAGCAGUGACAUCCUCAAAGAUCCCCCAAAUGGCUGCCCCCCAUCUCUGGGCCACAAGGAGCCACACCUGGACCAGGCACAGGAGAGAUGCAGAACCCAAGGCUAACAAGGGGAAACUUGCCCGAGACCACACUGCCAGAGUGGCUGCCCUGUCCUAUGCAUCCUUCUUCACCUCUUUCCUCCCUUCCAGCCUGAGAUGAGACCAUGGAGAGGGCACUGGGGGGAGCCACCCCUACACGAUGGAGGAGCAAGCACCCCAGAGGGGACCCUGAAAACGGAACUCCUCCCAGGAGCUUCCCGACAGAAGGCAGAGGUUUCCCCAGGCUCCGCGACAUUUCCUGAAGACAGUGGGGAGCAGGAAGGAGAAACGGCUCAUCCUUGGAGCAACCCCCCAGACCGCCAAGGGCCAGCACCAGGCACUCCUCCAGGGCAAGGAUGACAUCAAGUUCAGUCCCGUCUCCCCCUUGGAAGAUGGACUCGGUUUGCCGGACGGACAGGUGACAUGGUUAGACUGUCUCAAACCCAAAGGGUCGGUCAGGGGGUGAGACAUUGAGCAAAGAGGUUGAAAUGGGGGCCCUGGGCCGGCUGUUCCGAGUGAGGAAUCCCAGCUCGGCUCCUCGCUCCCUGCCCUCGGAAAAUUCCCUUCCCAUGGAGCCUUGGGGAUGCACGGGGAUCGGCCCAAUUAAAACAUUCAAUAAAUGACUGUUUUUAGCACA